UUCACUCUGAGCCAGUGGUCCUAAACAUUUCACAAACGUUGGCUCAGUACUGUUGAACUGUCGAGAACCACUGGACCAAAG